GCCCAGACUCCUACGGGAGGCAGCAGUGGGGAAUAUUGGGCAAUGGGCGCAAGCCUGACCCAGCAACGCCGCGUGAAGGAAGAAGGCUUCCGGGUUGUAAACUUCUUUUAAGAGGGAAGAGCAGAAGACGGUACCUCUUGAAUAAGCCACGGCUAACUACGUGCCAGCAGCCGCGGUAAUACGUGGGUGGCAAGCGUUGUCCGGAUUUACUGGGUGUAAAGGGCGUGCAGCCGGGAAGACAAGUCAGAUGUGAAAUCCCGCGGCUCAACCGCGGAACUGCAUUUGAAACUGUUUUUCUUGAGCACCGGAGAGGUCAUCGGAAUUCCUUGUGUAGCGGUGAAAUGCGUAGAUAUAAGGAAGAACACCAGUGGCGAAGGCGGAUGACUGGACGGCAACUGACGGUGAGGCGCGAAAGCGUGGGGAGCAAACAGGAUUAGAUACCCCAGUA
rnacentral:rRNA from 1 species